rnacentral:rRNA from 1 species
CUAAGUUGUUUAGGGCGCACGGUGGAUGCCUUGGCACAAGAAGCCGAUGAAGGACGUGUGAAUCUGCGAUAAGCCUCGGGGAGUCGAUAACAGGACGUUGAUUCGAGGAUUUCCGAAUGGGGGAACCCCGCCACUUGUCAAGGGUGGUGACCUGCACCUGAAUGUAUAGGGUGUGUGGAGGGAACGAGGGGAAGUGAAACAUCUCAGUACCCUCAGGAAGAGAAAAUAACUAAUGAUUCUGUGAGUAGUGGCGAGCGAAAGCGGAUGAGACUAAACCUGUGGUGUGUGAUACCGGUGAGGGGUUGCAUCAUGGGGGUUGUGGGAGUGAUGCGUGCCAGUUCUUACCGGCUGGUGGUGUGGUGUGUUGCGGUAGGCGAAGCGCCUGGGAUGGCGUGCCGUAGAGGGUGAGAGUCCUGUAGCUGAAACCGUGGCUGCUGCAUGGUGUUGUUUCCCGAGUAGCACGGGGCCCGUGAAAUCUCGUGUGAAUCUGCCAGGACCACCUGGUAAGUCUAAAUACUUUCUUGUGACCGAUAGUGGAUCAGUACCGUGAGGGAAUGGUGAAAAGUACCCCGGGAGGGGAGUGAAAUAGUACCUGAAACCGUGUGCCUACAAGCCGUCAGAGCCUUUUGGGGUGAUGGCGUGCCUUUUGAAGAAUGAGCCUGCGAGUUAGUGUUCUGUCGCGAGGUUAACCCGUGUGGGGUAGUCGUAGCGAAAGCGAGUCUGAAGAGGGCGUGUGAGUGGCAGGAUCUAGACCCGAAGCGGAGUGAUCUACCCAUGGCCAGGUUGAAGCGUGUGUAAGAGCGCGUGGAGGACCGAACCCACUUCAGUUGAAAAUGGAGGGGAUGAGCUGUGGGUAGGGGUGAAAGGCCAAUCAAACUCUGUGAUAGCUGGUUCUCCCCGAAAUGCAUUUAGGUGCAGCGUUGCGUGUUGCUUGCUGGAGGUAGAGCUACUGGUUGGCUGAUGGGCCUUAUCGGGUUACUGACGUCUGCCAAACUCCGAAUGCCGGUAAGUUUUAGCGUGGCAGUGAGACAGUGGGGGAUAAGCUUCAUUGUCGAGAGGGAAACAGCCCAGACCAUCAACUAAGGCCCCUAAGCGUGUGCUAAGUGGGAAAGGAUGUGGAGUUGCUGAGACAACCAGGAGGUUGGCUUAGAAGCAGCCAUCCUUGAAAGAGUGCGUAAUAGCUCACUGGUCAAGUGAUUCUGCGCCGACAAUGUAGCGGGGCUCAAGUACACCGCCGAAGUUGUGGCAACAGCGUUUUGUUGUUGGGUAGGGGAGCGUCGUGUGGCCGGUGAAGCUGCCGUGUGAACGAGUGGUGGAGGCUAUGCGAGUGAGAAUGCAGGCAUGAGUAGCGAAUGAUGCGUGAGAAACGUAUCCGCCGGAUGAUCAAGGGUUCCAGGGUCAAGCUAAUCUUCCCUGGGUUAGUCGGGGCCUAAGGCGAGGCCGUCAGGCGUAGUCGAUGGAUAACGGGUUGAUAUUCCCGUACCGACGAAGGACCGUCCAUACUGAGCUGGUGAUACUAACCACCCGAACCACUGUGGCCGCAUUUUGUGUGGCUUCUGGUGGGGAGCGUGGGGCCUGAGCCAGGGAGGUAAGCGUGUUAACAGGUGUGACGCAGGAAGGUAGCCGGGCCACGCGGUGGUUGUCGUGGUCUAAGCAUGUAGGGUGGGGUGUUGUUAAAUGCGCGCCCCGUGUGCCUGAGAUGUGAUGGGACCCCCUUUGGUGGGGGGAUUCGGUGAUCCUAUGCUGUCGAGAAAAGCAUCGGCGUGAGGUUCUAGUUGCCCGUACCCUAAACCGACACAGGUGAUCAGGUAGAGAAUACUAAGGCGUUCGAGAGAAUCAUGGUUAAGGAACUCGGCAAAAUGCCCCCGUAACUUCGGGAGAAGGGGGACCUUGAGCGUGAACCGGGCUUGCUCCGGGGAGCGUGUAUGGGUCGCAGAGACCAGGGGGAAGCGACUGUUUAUCAAAAACACAGGUCCGUGCGAAGUCGCAAGACGAUGUAUACGGACUGACUCCUGCCCGGUGCUGGAAGGUUAAGAGGACUCGUUAGGCCCUUCGGGGUCGAAGCGGAGAAUUUAAGCCCCAGUAAACGGCGGUGGUAACUAUAACCAUCCUAAGGUAGCGAAAUUCCUUGUCGGGUAAGUUCCGACCUGCACGAAUGGAGUAACGACUUCCCUACUGUCUCAACCAUGAACUCGGCGAAAUUGCAGUACGAGUAAAGAUGCUCGUUUCGCGCAGCAGGACGGAAAGACCCCGUGACCUUUACUAUAGUUUGGUAUUG